AUGGCGGCUCUGGAGGACCGAGGAAUUGAGGUUGCCCCUUUCGUCUGUUCACAUCCUCUGUUAGUUUUAGAUUUUGAAGAUUUAUGCGAUGGAAUCAUGAUAUGUAACAUGUCUUCUCCUGAAGAGGUCCGCUUAUUACUCGAUGACACUGUUGCCGGAAACACGGCCAAGGUAGCUGUGCUCCUCAUGAUGGAGCAGCGCCUGGGACAUUUUCUUGGGAGGUUGAAGCCGGAAAGGGAGGAGGAGGAAGAUGGCAGCCGCCCCGCCGCCCAAGGCCGACGAGCUGCAGCGGCAUCCGCUCAAGGAGCAGCUGCCCAGCGUGUCUUUCUGCAUCACCAGCUCACCGCCAUGGCGUACCGUGCUCUGCUUCACCCCGCCUCAGGGGCCUCUUGA
rnacentral:rRNA from 1 species